GCACAAGCGGUGGAUCAUGUUGUUUAAUUCGAUGAUACGCGAAGAACCUUACCAGGUCUUGACAUCCCCCGCGAUGCUUUAGAGAUAAAGCGGAGGUAUUCGGGGAGACAGGUGGUGCAUGGUUGUCGUCAGCUCGUGUCGUGAGAUGUUGGGUUAAGUCCCCGCAACGAGCGCAACCCCUAUUGCUAGUUACCAUCAUUAAGUUGGGGACUCUAGCGAGACUGCCAGUGAUAAACUGGAGGAAGGUGGGGAUGACGUCAAAUCAUCAUGCCCCUUAUGACCUGGGCUACAAACGUGAUACAAUGGCUGGAACAAAGGGAUGCGAAGCAGUGAUGUGGAGCGAAACCCAUAAAAACAGUCUCAGUUCGGAUUGAAGUCUGCAACUCGACUUCAUGAAGUCGGAAUCGCUAGUAAUCGCGCAUCAGCCAUGGCGCGGUGAAUACGUUCCCGGGCCUU
rnacentral:rRNA from 1 species